GAACUAUGCCUGAGCGGGGCGAAGCCAGAGGAAACUCUGGUGGAGGCUCGAAGCGAUACUCGCGUGCAAAUCGUUCGUCUGACUUGGGUAUAGGGGCGAAAGACUAAUCGAACCAUCUAGUAGCUGGUUCCCUCCGAAGUUUCCCUCAGGAUAGCUGGAGCCCAUUACGAGUUCUAUCAGGUAAAGCCAAUGAUUAGAGGC
rnacentral:ncRNA from 1 species